GAGUUUGAUCGUGGCUCAGGACGAACGCUGGCGGCGUGCCUAAUACAUGCAAGUCGAGCGAAUCUUUGGGAGCUUGCUCCCAUUGGUUAGCGGCGGACGGGUGAGUAACACGUGGGCAACCUGCCUGUAAGACUGGGAUAACUUCGGGAAACCGGAGCUAAUACCGGAUAAUCCUUUUCCUCACAUGAGGAAAAGCUGAAAGUCGGUUUCGGCUGACACUUAUAGAUGGGCCCGCGGCGCAUUAGCUAGUUGGUGAGGUAACGGCUCACCAAGGCGACGAUGCGUAGCCGACCUGAGAGGGUGAUCGGCCACACUGGGACUGAGACACGGCCCAGACUCCUACGGGAGGCAGCAGUAGGGAAUCAUCCGCAAUGGACGAAAGUCUGACGGUGCAACGCCGCGUGAGCGAAGAAGGCC
rnacentral:rRNA from 1 species